AGAGAUUGGCUUUGGUGCCCGAAAGGGAAUCGGAACACAGGUGCUGCAUGGCUGUCGUCAGCUCGUGUCGUGAGAUGUUGGGUUAAGUCCCGCAACGAGCGCAACCCUUAUCAUUAGUUGCUACGCAAGGGCACUCUAAUGAGACUGCCGGUGACAAACCGGAGGAAGGUGGGGAUGACGUCGAGUCCUCAUGGCCCUUAUGGGUAGGGCUUCACACGUCAUACAAUGGUCGGUACAGAGGGUUGCCAAGCCGCGAGGCGGAGCCAAUCCCACAAAGCCGAUCGUAGUCCGGAUUGUUCUCUGCAACUCGAGAGCAUGAAGUCGGAAUCGCUAGUAAUCGCAGGUCAGCAUACUGCGGUGAAUACGUUCCCGGAUCUU
rnacentral:rRNA from 1 species